AUGAAAUGAUGAUGUUGUUUAUCCAUUCUCUGAGUAUUGCCAGUUGCCAGUCCUUGCAGCACUUGAUCUGUUCUAGAUCCGAGUGUGACAGCCCCAUUUACUGUAAAGGUGGCCCAGUGUUCUACUGAGUGCCUUGUGGUAUUUGGUAGCUGUUGUAGGAUUGGUCAAUCUGACAUGGGCGCAGUGUCUGCCUAACAAAGACGAGGAUUCAACUCUGAUCAU
rnacentral:snoRNA from 1 species